rnacentral:rRNA from 1 species
UACGUAGGGGGCAAGCGUUGUCCGGAAUUAUUGGGCGUAAAGAGCGUGUAGGCGGUCCGGUAAGUCGGGUGUGAAAGCCCUCAGCUCAACUGAGGAAGUGCGCCCGAAACUGCAGAGCUUGAGUACCGGAGAGGAUGGUGGAAUUCCCGAAGUAGAGGUGAAAUUCGUAGAUAUCGGGAGGAACACCGGUGGCGAAGGCGACCAUCUGGACGGAUACUGACGCUGAGACGCGAAAGCGUGGGUAGCAAACAGG